GCCAGCAGCCAGAUCACCCUGCAGCUCACCACUGGCAGCCCACUGGAGCUCAGCAGGUGUGAGCCUGGUCAGUACCUUGAUGGGAGACCUCUGGGAAAAACUAAGGUUGCUGCUGGAA
rnacentral:rRNA from 1 species